CUCAGUUCGGAUUGAAGGCUGAAAUUCGCCUUCAUGAAGCUGGAAUUGCUAGUAAUGGCAGGUCAGCAUACUGCCGUGAAUACGUUCCCGGGCCUUGUACACACCGCCCGUCACACCAUGAGAGUUGGAAAUACCCGAAGCCUGUGAGCUAACUUUUAGAGGCAGCAGUCGAAGGUAGAGCCAAUGAUUGGGGUGAAGUCGUAACAAGGUAUC
rnacentral:rRNA from 1 species